rnacentral:lncRNA from 1 species
AAAUCUCUUUGCUAAAAAAUAAUGAACCCUUAAGUUACACAAUGAUUUGGUGAUUAAAUGUGGACAAGUAAAUCGAUCACUCGGCUCUGUUAAACUCUACGAAUUAUUCUCCCAACACCAACUCAUUUGAGAGUGGAAACCAAUCAAAAUCACCGGAUAGUGAACCUUCCAAACAUAAGCACACACGCAAGUUUUAAUCAAAGUAAUCUGAGAAAAGCAAAAUCAGUAAAGCCAAAUAGCUUGUAUCACACAACCAUCUACCACUAUAAUAGGUUGGAAACUAACCAAUGGCCAAUCCCAGAUAACAAAAUACAGUCGGAGAGAAAAUAUUGUUUCUGGUACAAAAUGGCCAUACCAUGUUAUAAAGAUAGAGUGAGAGAGAGAGUCACACGUAAAAAAACAAAACAUAAAAAGCAUGAACCCCAAAUAUAGAGAGAGGGAGAAUUUACAAAUGGCACAAAAAAGCAACAAAUGAACCUCGAUUAGAGAAAGAGAGAGAGAGAGAGAGAGAGAUUACAUACGACACGAUGAGAGCAACAAAUGAAUCCCAGCGAGAAACACACACACACACAGAUUCAACAUGAAAGAAAAGAAAAUUCCAAAAAUGAAACCAAGAGACGGAGGAGGGGGAAAGAAAGACAGAGAGAGAUAUUGUACCUUGAGAGGAACCCACAGAAGAAAGUUCCCACACAAUUGAGCCUUCUUCAGUAGAAUGAAAAAUGCAAGAGAAAAAUCUCACGAAUGAGUUUCACUCUACACCUGAUAGAAAUAGUACCACGCUCUCUCUCUCUCUACACUCCUCCACGCCAUUACUCAAACCCAAAAGGCUUCCCCCAAUACUCGAUAAACAGAUCAUGAGAGCGGUUUAUACAGUUCUCCAUCACCACUAAUGUGAGAUUUGAAGCCAUUAAGCAAAGCAGAGGACUUCAUAGAAGGUUCCAAACAUUGAGUUGCAGAGAUUCGAACCCGGAAAUAUAGUUAGGGUUUCAAGUACUGAGAGAGGGGCGAGAGCAGAGAGAGGGAGGGAAAGGGAUUAACGCAGAUGAGAGAGAGAGAGGGAUGGGGGUUUAGAAAACCCAAAAUAUUAAGUUACAAUUCAAAUCUCACCUCGAGAUUUGGAUCGUAAUCAAUCGUGAUGAGUCGGGUCCCAUGCUUGUAC